AGAAUGAGGAGACAUUAAAAAAAGCGACAGCAGAUAGUCUUGAGAAACAGAAAACCUUGAACGAGAAGUUACAUGCAGUAGAAAAAUCAGCAGAGGAAAAGCUGGCAGCGAACAAGACAGAGAUUGAAAAAUUAAUACACCAGCGGGACUCCAUACAGAAUAAAUUUGAUGCUCACAUUAAAAUAACAAACAUCAAAAUAGGAAAUCUGGAGACAGCCAUAGAAAGAAAGACUGUGGAGAAUAAGGAACUAAACAGAAAUAUGUGACAAUCUUCUGUCAAAAGUUGAUAAGUGAAAAUCUUGUAUGAUACAACAUGUACAACCAAACAA